CAUCUACUUCACGCCUUGGCUUAUACUUGACAUCAAGCAUUGAACAGCCUGGCUUUAGACUUCCUUUCUAGUAUGUAUGAUGAACUUUGAAAAAAAAAUAAAGUUGGUAAAAGAUUCGCUUCAGUUGUAAAUGUCCUGGCAAUCAUCUAACAACCCAAAAACAUCACAAAAAGUUAUUCCACAUCAUUAAAUGCAAAAUAAAGAAUGAAACGAUUCCAUUCAAUCAUGUCUUUGAGAAAACAAUGUGAAACGAUAAAAGGUUUCAAGGUUUAAAUCCAA
rnacentral:lncRNA from 1 species